UUUAGUGAUUUUAGUGACAGUUGUACUAUCGCACUUGUUUCCAGUUAUACGUCUCGUCGAACUGCAUUAUCUUACGCUAAAGUCAAGAGAUGAUGUAGAAACAUCAGAAUAUUUGCUGCAAAAUGUUUCAGAUUUCCAAAAUGUAAUAAAGCCAGAAUCCACAUUUGGAGGAAAGCAUACCAAGUGUGUUUAUUGAUCUCUGCUUACUUUAUUUUAUCAAUAGGUCUUACAUUUUAUAAUCCAUGGCUGUAUAAUAUGUAUUUUUAGGGAUUUAAUUUUCACUUGGAGUAGUAGUUUGCCAUUUGAUU